UACGUAGGGGGCGAGCGUUGUCCGGAUUUAUUGGGCGUAAAGCGCCCGCAGGCGGUUCAGUUAGUCGGAUGUGAAAACCCAGGGCUCAACCCUGGGACGCCAUUCGAUACUGCUGGACUAGAGGCAGGUAGAGGAGAGUGGAAUUCCUGGUGUAGCGGUGAAAUGCGUAGAUAUCAGGAGGAACACCGGUGGCGAAAGCGGCUCUCUGGGCCUGACCUGACGCUCAUGGGCGAAAGCGUGGGUAGCGAACAGG
rnacentral:misc_RNA from 1 species